rnacentral:lncRNA from 1 species
GCUCCCCAACCAGCCUGGGAUCGGCUCCCUCUUGCAGCUUUUUCCUUUCCUCCUAAUUUUUUUUUCCUUGGAGGAUCCAACCGGGAUUUAGAGGCUCCUCAAACUCUCGUCUCUCUUUUCUUGGGCUCCCUUCGUCCUUGUCGCUGGUGUGAUCGCUAACCUCCUGCCCCCCCUUACUACUACCCCCCGUUUCCCGAACCAACCACUCCUCCCCGCUUGCCCGAAGCGCAGGAGAUGGAAGUUUUCCCCCUCGCUUUGCUCGUGUCCGUGUGCUGGACCGGAACCUGGGAAGCGGCGCUGGCAGAUUCGAUCAUCCACAUCGAGUUUGUCUGGGCUAUGAAGCUGGGACCCUUUGCAACGCACCCUUAGCAAGAGUGAUAUUUCCCAGCCAACAAACCAAGUAUGGAAAUUGUUCACAAUAUGACCUUUCUGACAAGGAACCUCCAUGCCAGUGCUACCAGCCACCAGUUGAAUGUUCACAGGACAUCCAUUAAAUGACUGCCUUUCAGGUGUUGUGGCAUCCACAGGAAAAAUUGCUUCUGUGUGCCAGUAUUUUUCAUAUUCUUAUCACACGGAGGCUGGAUUGCAGUAAUCAUACUGACUCCCUUUGCACUGAAACAUCUUUGAAGUGGCCAGUAUUGCUACAAUAUCUUUGCAUUCAUUAAGCACAUUGUCAGCAGGACAGAAUAAAAGUGCUGUAAAUUGGGGAAACAAGGUGAUGCCUUGACCCCAAUGAAGUUGACAGAACUGGUUAUAGCUGGGCUUUCUUUCAUGGUAACAGUAUGAGGGUACGAAUGAAAGAAAGAACGAAAGCAUCAUCUCAUUCCGCAGCUAUUUCUAAUUUUAAAAAUGACUUUCUCCUCUGAAAGCUGAAUUACCAGGGAUAGUAGGGAUAUUAUUGCAAUCUAAUGCAGGAAACUGAUCAUCCAUCACAUUUAAAUUAUAACUUGAGCCAAAAUUAUAUUUUAUAUUGGAACGAGGAUUUUCCCCCCUGCCUCUGCUGAUGUUCAGCUCCAACUAAGUUUUUAUGCACACAAGAAUGGAGGGAAAUGCCUGGAAUUGAAUUUCCAUAAUGAAAAGGAAGCUAAAUGGAUUUUCAGAGGGGGCUGGGAGAAAAGAAUUUCAUGUGAAUUUCUAAGGUUAAUUUUUUAUAGAAAGAGAAGGAUCAAAAGCGGAUUUUAUGCUGGAUUAAUACAUUACCAGAGAUAACGGAAACUACUUCUGAAUGGCAAGGUUCCACGUUACUCACAGUAAUGUCUGCAGCGAGGAAAUAUGAGGCUCGGGUAAAUUGGGUCAUUUCAUCUCGCAUCAGCAUUACACACCUGUCUUAGGGUAACAACCUUUUUAUUAUUUAUUUCCCACUGCUUAAUAUUCAGAACUUCUAAGUGGUAUACAUAAAAUGUUAAAAACAACAACAACACGAAGAGCAAUUAAACUUAAUAAAGAUGCCUGAAGUAUGGAAGUCUGUUGUGCACCUGAAGUUCAGCAGAGAGGAGGCCUGUCAGAUUUCAGUCAGAAGGGCUAU